AACAGGAUUAGAUACCCUGGUAGUCCACGCCGUAAACGAUGAGUGCUAGGUGUUGGGGGUUUCCGCCCUCUGUGCCGAAGGUAACCCAAUAAGCACUCCGCCUGGGGAGUACGGCCGCAAGGCUGAAACUCAAAGGAAUUGACGGGGGCCCGCACAAGCGGUGGAGCAUGUGGUUUAAUUCGAAGCAACGCGAAGAACCUUACCAGGGCUUGACAUCCCGCUGACCGGUGUAGAGAUGCACCUUCCCUUCGGGGCAGCGGUGACAGGUGGUGCAUGGUUGUCGUCAGCUCGUGUCGUGAGAUGUUGGGUUCAGUCCCGCAACGAGCGCAACCCUUGUCGUCAGUUGCCAGCACAUGAUGGUGGGCACUCUGGCGAGACAGCCGGUGAAAGCCGGAGGAAGGUGGGGAUGACGUCAAAUCAUCAUGCCCCUUAUGUCCUGGGCUACACACGUGCUACAAUGGCCGGUACAACGGGCAGCGAACCCGUGAGGGGGAGCCAAUCCCAAAAAACCGGUCUCAGUUCGGAUCGCAGGCUGCAACUCGCCUGCGUGAAGCUGGAAUCGCUAGUAAUCGCGGAUCAGCAUGCCGCGGUGAAUCCGUUCCCGGGCCUUGUACACACCGCCCGUCACACCACGAGAGUCUGCAACACCCGAAGUCGGUGAGGUAACCUUCGGGAACCAGCCGCCGAAGGUGGGGCAGAUGAUUGGGGUGAAGUCGUAACAAGGUAACC
rnacentral:rRNA from 1 species